CACCACACAGUUAGCAUGUGACCACAAUGUGGUGAUUCAGUUCAAUGGACUCAAAGAGCAGAGGCAAUGAAAAAUGAAAGCUGGCCAUUGUUAAAGAUUUGAUAGUUGAACAUGACUUGGAAGAUGGCUGGUGUACACCCAGUCUUUGUACUAGUCGAGCGAUUCAAAAAGUGAUUCCAUUUAAAGCCUUGGUGUGACUGGUUCUGCAUGGAAAUGGUUUCAGUCC